UAUUUUAAAAAUUAAAAACACUCCCUUCUGGAAUUUUUCGCGGGGUAUCCUGUCUGCUCAUUCUAUCUUGUCUUCUCCUUUCGGUUCUCUUUGCUUCUCAUGUCAUUAGGUUCUUCUUUCUUCUCCUUCCCUGUUAUCUCCUUUCCUUCUCAUUAUCUCUGGGUUCUUCUCGUUCACGUUUGCCACUAUGCUAUCGCUUAGACCCGAAACCCUACCCUUGUCAGUGCGCUNGCUAGGGUUUCAUUUCACCUUCUCCGAACAAUGUCGCUCCCGCAUGCUCAAUUGAAACCAAUUGCAUCACUCAGAAAUUCGGUGGAGCCAAUUCCCUAGAAGAUGAUAUGAAAUCGUGCUCGCGGACCAAGCCUCUUCUUCUGCCCUUUCCGAUGCUUCUCCACCACCACGCCGUCAUCGUUCUCUUCGAUGUUUUCAAAAUCCAAAACAACUUUCGCGAGCACGAAGGCUCUGAUGACUCACUCGGAUACCCUAAAAGUGUGACAAACUAGUUUGGAGGGACAAAGGAUCUCUGCCGAAUUAUGGAGAUUUCCUAAUAGAACUACAAAUGUUGGGCAAAUGAUAUAUGCUUAUCUUAGUAACACAUCUUAGUUGGAUGGGAAAAAAGUCUUUGUCUCGACAGGUCGUACAUCCAUCAAGAUAUACUACUAUGUGCAUGUACGCAAACGUUCAAAUAGGCUUCAUGAUGAACUUUCCUUCAAGAUAGGCAAUAUCAUUUGCAAAUCUUUUCUUGGUUGAUAUCUUAACUUCCAUGGCAAAGGUGUUUUCUGAUUUGGAACAUUCAGUAAGUAGAAUGGUCCACCGACAGGUUGCCAUAAUUGCUUGGUUGGAAGCUGAUUUUGUUUGUGGCAACCACUUGUCGCUUGCCUUAUCUUUUCUGCGUAAACCAAUGCCUCUUAUAACAGAGUUGAAAGAUGUAAUUCAAGAGAUGAAGUCACUCAAACUAGAAAAGCUUAAGAAGCCCGUGACUUAGUGAGAAUUCUUAUUUUUUAAUCAGUGUCCAAAAUUACUCAACGACAAUGAUUGUGGAUAUUACUUGUGUCGAUAUAUGAUGAAAAUUAUCACAUACUGUGAAGGAGGGACAAUUCCAAUUAAUUCCUUUUCUAGUUGCAGAUGUCAAUCAUUUCGUGACAAUCAAAUAAUUAAAGUUAGAGAAUAUUGGUGUUUAUUUGUAACUAAUACAUCUUAUAUGUUAUGUUAUGAUGAUGUACAUGCCUAUAAGUACAAAUAGGAUAUACAUGCUAUGAUUGUAUAUAUUGUUUUAUGAUGUCAUGACAUGUACUAGAUGACUCGACAAUA